UGGGAGAGCGCUGCGUUCGCAAUGCAGAGGUCGUGGGUUCGAUCCCCAUUAUCUCCACCA
rnacentral:tRNA from 1 species